GAGCUCACCAGUCUGUGCCAGCCCUGGGACACAACUCAUGAAUGUUCCCUAAUGUUCUGGGACUAUCCAGAAUUAGAAGAAACCUUUGCGCUAAUUACAAAUGCAUCGUGUCUGAAAAUAGAAGGACAUCUGCUUCGAUGUUUGUGAGACCUUUAUCAGCUACGGUUUCACCAAACACACAUCUGUACUUUGAGCACGACAUUAUAGCCUUCAAAGCAAAUAAACAGAUAUAAAAGCGAACCAGGUUGACAGACAGAAAGAGAUCGUCUGUGGAGAAACGGGUCCACUGGGACACGGGGAAAAGUGAGAGGAAGAGGAUCGAGUGGACGGAAAAAAGCUGUGGGGAGAAGAUGAUUGGACUCGACAGAAUCAGACAUGGAGAUGUCAUCCUUGUCCAGCACAGUCUGAAAAACCACAGACCAGAAUCAUUUGUUUCGAUUUCUCCCUAAUUUAGUCAUAGCCAGUUCCCACACUCCCGGGAGGGCAGGGUGUAUAUCACAUGCUUCCUCCGCAUCUGUUUAAAAAUGCUGCUCAUGCAACAGUCGAGGGCAACAUAAAACUCUGGAGAAAGUGCUAUCCACCCACUUUCAAGAC